GCGUCUUGCUCCGUCGCCCAGGCUGGAGUGCAGUGGUGCCACUCCUGGUGUAGGACUGAACAUCAAAAAAAGAAAAUAUCAGGAAGAAAGGAAAGAAGGAGCGGCAUUUCCAUCCCAAACACAUCAACAUUCCAGUGGAAAGCAUACUUAUGGGGACCAUCUGAAGGUUUCGUAAUGAUCAAUUCUGCCAGAUGAUUUAAGUUUCUUUCCUAAAACUGGAAUCUAGGUAGGAUGUGCAACCAAGAUCCCAUCUCAGUCCUCGAAGAAACUGUUCUGAAUUCUUUAGAUUCAUGCCCUUAGCUGACAUUGAGGAGCUCCAAGAAAUAGUCCUAGGAAACCUGUUUAUUUAUUACAAGGCUGCUAUUUAGGAUCUUACCACUAUGUCAUCUAUAUGAAUAAUUAUCAAAA